GAAGGGAGUGUGGCUCUGGCAGCAGAUACUGACCAGUCUUCUGUCCUGGACAGCCUGUGGGCCAAGGCAGAUUGCAAGACUCAGAUUUUUCCUGAAUACAGUUUGAACUUUGAGAGAAGAAGAAGAUAGCAAAAUGCAAAAUCAAUGGGAAUUGAUGACCAUUGAAGAUGUAAGCAUAAGUUUCACCCAAGAAGGGUGGGCCAUGCUGGACCCAUCUCAGAAAAUCUACACUGGUCAGUGAUGCUGGAAAUUGUUAAUCAUCUAGUAUCAGUUGGGUAUAUGUUCUGUAAAUCAGAAGGGACUUUGCAUCUGGAGCAAGAAGAAAUUCUGUGGAUGGUAGAAGGGACAGGGUUUCUCCCAAGCCAGAGUGCA